GGGUUGUGAGGUUAAGCGACUAAGCGUACACGGUGGAUGCCCUGGCAGUCAGAGGCGAUGAAGGACGUGCUAAUCUGCGAAAAGCGUCGGUAAGGUGAUAUGAACCGUUAUAACCGGCGAUGUCCGAAUGGGGAAACCCAGUGCAAUUCGUUGCACUAUCGUUAACUGAAUACAUAGGUUAACGAGGCGAACCGGGGGAACUGAAACAUCUAAGUACCCCGAGGAAAAGAAAUCAACCGAGAUUCCCCCAGUAGCGGCGAGCGAACGGGGAGCAGCCCAGAGUCUGAAUCAGCUUGUGUGUUAGUGGAACGGUCUGGAAAGUCCGACGGUACAGGGUGAUAGUCCCGUACACCAAAAUGCACAGGUUGUGAACUCGAAGAGUAGGGCGGGACACGUGGUAUCCUGUCUGAAUAUGGGGGGACCAUCCUCCAAGGCUAAAUACUCCUGACUGACCGAUAGUGAACCAGUACCGUGAGGGAAAGGCGAAAAGAACCCCGGCGAGGGGAGUGAAAAAGAACCUGAAACCGUGUACGUACAAGCAGUGGGAGCACCUUCGGGUGUGACUGCGUACCUUUUGUAUAAUGGGUCAGCGACUUAUAUUCUGUAGCAAGGUUAACCGUAUAGGGGAGCCGCAGGGAAACCGAGUCUUAACUGGGCGUUAAGUUGCAGGGUAUAGACCCGAAACCCGGUGAUCUAGCCAUGGGCAGGUUGAAGGUUGGGUAACACUAACUGGAGGACCGAACCGACUAAUGUUGAAAAAUUAGCGGAUGACUUGUGGCUGGGGGUGAAAGGCCAAUCAAACCGGGAGAUAGCUGGUUCUCCCCGAAAGCUAUUUAGGUAGCGCCUCGUGAACUCAUCUUCGGGGGUAGAGCACUGUUUCGGCUAGGGGGUCAUCCCGACUUACCAACCCGAUGCAAACUACGAAUACCGAAGAAUGUUAUCACGGGAGACACACGGCGGGUGCUAACGUCCGUCGUGAAGAGGGAAACAACCCAGACCGCCAGCUAAGGUCCCAAAGUCAUGGUUAAGUGGGAAACGAUGUGGGAAGGCACAGACAGCCAGGAUGUUGGCUUAGAAGCAGCCAUCAUUUAAAGAAAGCGUAAUAGCUCACUGGUCGAGUCGGCCUGCGCGGAAGAUGUAACGGGGCUAAACCAUGCACCGAAGCUGCGGCAGCGACACUAUGUGUUGUUGGGUAGGGGAGCGUUCUGUAAGCCUGCGAAGGUGUGCUGUGAGGCAUGCUGGAGGUAUCAGAAGUGCGAAUGCUGACAUAAGUAACGAUAAAGCGGGUGAAAAGCCCGCUCGCCGGAAGACCAAGGGUUCCUGUCCAACGUUAAUCGGGGCAGGGUGAGUCGACCCCUAAGGCGAGGCCGAAAGGCGUAGUCGAUGGGAAACAGGUUAAUAUUCCUGUACUUGGUGUUACUGCGAAGGGGGGACGGAGAAGGCUAUGUUAGCCGGGCGACGGUUGUCCCGGUUUAAGCAUGUAGGCUGGUUAUCCAGGCAAAUCCGGAUAAUCAAGGCUGAGGUGUGAUGACGAGGCACUACGGUGCUGAAGUAACAAAUGCCCUGCUUCCAGGAAAAGCCUCUAAGCAUCAGGUAACAUCAAAUCGUACCCCAAACCGACACAGGUGGUCAGGUAGAGAAUACCAAGGCGCUUGAGAGAACUCGGGUGAAGGAACUAGGCAAAAUGGUGCCGUAACUUCGGGAGAAGGCACGCUGGUGUGUAGGUGAAGCCCCUGCGGGUGGAGCUGAGACCAGUCGAAGAUACCAGCUGGCUGCAACUGUUUAUUAAAAACACAGCACUGUGCAAACACGAAAGUGGACGUAUACGGUGUGACGCCUGCCCGGUGCCGGAAGGUUAAUUGAUGGGGUUAUCCGUAAGGAGAAGCUCUUGAUCGAAGCCCCGGUAAACGGCGGCCGUAACUAUAACGGUCCUAAGGUAGCGAAAUUCCUUGUCGGGUAAGUUCCGACCUGCACGAAUGGCGUAAUGAUGGCCAGGCUGUCUCCACCCGAGACUCAGUGAAAUUGAACUCGCUGUGAAGAUGCAGUGUACCCGCGGCAAGACGGAAAGACCCCGUGAACCUUUACUAUAGCUUGACACUGAACAUUGAGCCUUGAUGUGUAGGAUAGGUGGGAGGCUUUGAAGCGUGGACGCCAGUCUGCGUGGAGCCAACCUUGAAAUACCACCCUUUAAUGUUUGAUGUUCUAACGUUGGCCCCUGACCGGGGUUGCGGACAGUGUCUGGUGGGUAGUUUGACUGGGGCGGUCUCCUCCCAAAGCGUAACGGAGGAGCACGAAGGUUAGCUAAUCCUGGUCGGACAUCAGGAGGUUAGUGCAAUGGCAUAAGCUAGCUUGACUGCGAGCGUGACGGCGCGAGCAGGUGCGAAAGCAGGUCAUAGUGAUCCGGUGGUUCUGAAUGGAAGGGCCAUCGCUCAACGGAUAAAAGGUACUCCGGGGAUAACAGGCUGAUACCGCCCAAGAGUUCAUAUCGACGGCGGUGUUUGGCACCUCGAUGUCGGCUCAUCACAUCCUGGGGCUGAAGUAGGUCCCAAGGGUAUGGCUGUUCGCCAUUUAAAGUGGUACGCGAGCUGGGUUUAGAACGUCGUGAGACAGUUCGGUCCCUAUCUGCCGUGGGCGCUGGAGAAUUGAGGGGGGCUGCUCCUAGUACGAGAGGACCGGAGUGGACGCAUCACUGGUGUUCGGGUUGUCAUGCCAAUGGCACUGCCCGGUAGCUAAAUGCGGAAGAGAUAAGUGCUGAAAGCAUCUAAGCACGAAACUUGCCCCGAGAUGAGUUCUCCCUGAGACUUUAAGUCUCCUGAAGGAACGUU
rnacentral:rRNA from 1 species